UACGUAGGGUCCAAGCGUUGUCCGGAUUUAUUGGGCGUAAAGAGCUCGUAGGCGGUUCCGUAAGUCGGAUGUGAAAACUCGGGGCUCAACCCCGAGACGCAUCGCAUACUGCGGUGACUUGAGUCUGGUAGGGGAACACGGAAUUCCUGGUGUAGCGGUGAAAUGCGCAGAUAUCAGGAGGAACACCGAUGGCGAAGGCAGUGUCUGGGCCAUACUGACGCUGAGGAGCGAAAGCGUGGGGAGCAAACAGG
rnacentral:rRNA from 1 species